CCUACGGGAGGCAGCAGUGGGGAAUAUUGCACAAUGGGCGCAAGCCUGAUGCAGCCAUGCCGCGUGUGUGAAGAAGGCCUUCGGGUUGUAAAGCACUUUCAGUCGUGAGGAAGGUUUAUGCGUUAAUAGCGUAUAGAUUUGACGUUAG
rnacentral:rRNA from 1 species